UACGGAGGGGGCUAGCGUUGUUCGGAAUCACUGGGCGUAAAGCGCACGUAGGCGGAAUUGUAAGUCAGGGGUGAAAUCCCGGGGCUCAACCUCGGAACUGCCUUUGAUACUGCAAGUCUCGAGUCCGGAAGAGGUGAGUGGAAUUCCUAGUGUAGAGGUGAAAUUCGUAGAUAUUAGGAAGAACACCAGUGGCGAAGGCGGCUCACUGGUCCGGUACUGACGCUGAGGUGCGAAAGCGUGGGGAGCAAACAGG
rnacentral:rRNA from 1 species